ensembl:lncRNA
AGGAGACUUACAUAAAUGAGAACUGUGAUCACUGUGGGAUUUCUCCAGCUUUGACUUCUAAAGUUUGCCAUUCGUCCCCCCCCCCCCCUCUCUUACUCCUACUCUUCUGACUUGUUUGACUCACUGAUGGUGCCUGACUGUAAUGUGAGUAAUGUGGAUUUUAAUGUGCAGUAAUGAACUCUCGUUUACACUCCACUGUCUCACACGCUCGGCCAUCACACUGAGGUUCCUCCACCUGCACAAAGUCAAACGAGGAGGAAGAUGAAGGUGAUGAUGGUCUGAAGUGACACUCGUGCUUUAAUGAGGGACCUGAUCUGCCGGAUAAUGUAUCUCUCUCACAGCUUCAGAGAGUCAUCUCACAGUUCCUGAGGCGGCGAAGGAUCCGUGUAAAUUUACCGUGAAGGCUCUUAGAAGUGCUAUUCAAGAGGGAGAUUUCCUUUAAAGCUCUCAUUUAAAACCUUCAGAAGACAAAAAAAAAAAGUGCUCUUUCCUCACGAGGCCCAACAUCCAUUUUCCCAUUUCUGCUCACGAUCCUCAAAUGCUCGCCGGUACCUUUUUCAAAAUUGUGAAUUAAGUGACUUAAAUUGUUUGUCUUACUCUACUGUCAGUUAUCGGAUGAAAUCUGAGUGUCCAUCUCACCCAAUUUGUUUUGCGACUCAUACGUAACUAUUACAAAAGGUGCAAACAUUCACUGAUUCUCAGGAAGGCAACACUACAUUAAGAGUCAGGGGGAUGUAAACUUUUGAACAGGAUUAUUUUGUUUAAAGAUCUUAUGUUUUAAUGUAGUACUGCCCAGCAGAAACUACAUAAGAUAUUUACAUGUUUCCCAGAAUACAGUAUAUUAACAAUUUACACUGAUUAUUCUGUUCAAAAUUAUACACCUCCCACCCCCUGACUGUAUCAUGUUACCUUCUUCAACAUCAGUGAAUGUUUACACUGGAAUGAUACCA